rnacentral:rRNA from 1 species
AACGUAGGAGACGAACGUUAUCCGGAGUUACUGGGCGUAAAGGGCGUGCAGGCGGUCUGAUAAGUUCGGCGUGAAAUAUUCCGGCUUAACCGGGAUAGGUCGUCGGAGACUGUCGGACUAGAGGGUGAUAGAGGCGUGUGGAAUUCCGGGUGUAGUGGUGAAAUGCGUAGAGAUCCGGAGGAACACCGACGGCGCAGGCAGCGUCCUGGCCGCUUGCUGACACUGAGGCACGAAAGCUGGGGGAGCAAACAGG